rnacentral:ncRNA from 1 species
UAACAAUUGUCCUCUUCCUAACCGAGACCUAUGGGGAGGUUAAACACAGUCUCUCAUAUCCCCGCUAAGGGGUGCGGGGAGCAUAGUAACUCCA